CCUGGUUCCUGCUGAGCCUUCACUUUGCAUAGGGUUGGGGCAGGUGCAAACUCUCCCCUUGCAGCUCAGUGCUGGAAGACAACUGGAGAGGCCAGCAUUUGGUGGUUUUGCUCCAUGGGCUGCAAAUGGCUUGCAACAGAAUCAAAGGAGAGAACAGAUAAAUGGCACGAUAUAAGGGAGAAUUCAUCUUAUUUGAAAGACAUCUAAAGAGAAAUCGAAUGCAUCACUCUCUAAAUGUGUCUACAUCUCAAAAUUAACAACAAAGAGAUUCAUGAUUAGCCCAAAUGAAGGUGUAAAUGUUGUCAACUUCUGAAGUAGAAUCCACCAAUCCCACCCACAACACCUUCAGAGAGCUGAGAUCCUUGGGUGCCUUUGUGUUUCCUCAGCAUGGAGUUUUGCCAUUAAUAGCAAACCAACAUAUUUAGGCCAAAUAGCACCACACAUUCUGCUUUAGAGGGGGGAAUGCCUUGAGAAAAAAGCAUGAAGCUUGAAGGAAGAUUUUCAACAGUUUAGGCAAAAGCUGAUGGUGUAACCACCAACAACACAUUUCAAACCUCUAUGCUGACUACCAUAAGAUCCUAAAAGUUAGGUGCCUGACACACAGUAGACACCAAAGUACAUUGUGCAUUGCCUGGCAGUGUGAUCACCAGCACAGCAAGAAGCUUUGCUCUCCAGCAGGCUCACAUCUAGAGGUUUGUCUGUAGCAGAACAAAACCAGGCUGCACUUGGCAUGAGGGACAUGCCAGCCCUUCCUUUGGCAACCUCUGCUUGCAUUAGCUUGGAACCAGUGGAGGUAACACUUCCCAAGGAAAAGAAAAUCUCUAAAGACAAUACACACAGAGUAAGAGACAGGAAGGAGCACAAUCCUAUGUACGCCAUGAACAAACUGCAGGACCAGAGAGAGAAAAAGCUGGGAAUGAAACCUUCUCAAUCCAGCAGUCAAGUGUUCAGGUUCCCACAUUGGACCAGGAGCCAGGAAGACUCCCUGCUUUGCUCAAACACAGACCAAAGAGCUGGUAAGGACUAAUGGAUGACAGUGGUGACUGUGAGCUGGAAUACACCUGUGCAGGAAUGGAUAAUAAAACCCACCCAAAAUCUGGAGGAACCCCAUAUAGGAAGCAGUAGUGAUACGAGAAAUGCUGCCAUAUUUGUAUCUGCAAUGCAAUUGUACUGGAAAUACCUGUAGAAAUUGGAACUGGAAGAGACUGAUUGGAUAAGUCCAGUGAUAACAAAAAUAGCACUGUAAAACACCCAUAAACUGGAAAGUUGUUCUGUUGUGUAGAACAAAUAGAUCUCCUGACUCUGGACCCAGAGUUGUUGUUGAAAUAAUUAUGAGUGAGCGAGGCAGAAUCCAUGGUCUGUUACACAGCCGAGAAGGAACCUCUCAGGGCCCAUUACCAGCCCAGGGUUAGACCUCAUUAACCCUCGUUAAGCCAAGGCAGAUCAUAUGUUGAAAACCAGAUCUGAAUUUGGCUUUAGAUUUACUUCUUGUUUAUACUAGCAGAUCAAACAGCCUAUUGCUGCUUCCAGACACCCUCACUGACCACUCCAUGCUUCCCUGGGAAAAUUCUAAUAAAAUAACUGUGCUAUUCUGCAUUGGUGCAGCUCUUUCGAUCCCACUCAGACUGGUCUAACCACAGGUUUCAUGAUACUCUUUAGACAGCUCUGCUCUCCCUGCCCAUCUUGCAGAAUAUUCUGGGGAAGUUUAGCCUCCUGGAGUCUGCAUGAGCUGAGGAGCAGCCAGUUCCUCUUGCCUCCUCCAGAAGCUGGACUAGAUGAUCAUUGCUUUGAAUUCUGACAUCACGGGUUGCAUUUGAUGAGUAAACUAAAUGCAAUUUGGAAGUCCACACUCUCUGCUGUUGAAUGAAUGGUGCCUGGCAGGAUUUAACCUGGUCUGUUCCUAAACAACUUCCUAGCAGGGUAGCACAGGCCAUGUACCAUUUCUCAUGAGCAAUUUGCAUGUAGC
rnacentral:lncRNA from 13 species